rnacentral:misc_RNA from 1 species
AAGAGUUAAGCUUGCCAGAAAUUAUGAAAAGGCUCUUGAGAUAAUUGACAAACAUCUGACUUAUUGGCCUAAAUUGUUGGUACACAAAGUAAAGCAACGGUUGACGAAAAUGACUCAGAUGCGCAUUCGAAUGAGGAAGCUUGCUUUGAAGACCAGGGAAAAGAUCAUGACAACGCCAAGAAAACUGGCAAAGAGGGAGGCUAGAAGAGAGGAAAAGGCUGAAAAAGCAGCCUUGUUGAAUAAGAGUAUUGAGAAAGAAUUGCUGGAACGCCUUAAGAAAGGAGUUUAUGGUGACAUAUACAAUUAUCCUGCUGAUAAGUAUAAUGAACUACUUGACAUGGAUGAACUGCAGGUUGCAGGUGAAGAAAAAGAAGAGGAGGAACCUGAGGUUGAAUAUGUUGAGGGAUAUGAUGGUCUUGAAGAGGAAGAUGAUAUAGAAGAUUUUGUUGGGCUUGGAAUCAAUGGCUCCCAUGCAUUUGAUGGUGAUAAUGUUGGAUUGGAUGAUGAUGAUGCUGAAGCGGCAGAAAAAGUUGAUCACAAGAGAGGGGGAGAAAAGAAUUUAAUUUGGCUUCAAGAAAGCUGGAGAAAGAUGAAUCUGGUGCUAAAUUGAAGAAGAAAGCAAGGGUACUUGUUGAGGUUGAGAAUGAAGGUGCUUCCGAAAGGCAAAAGGCAGUCUAUUGAGUGCUAAAGGAUGGUUUUAUGAGUCAAAUACCCAUAUUUGUCAGGUUGAGUGUAGAUUAUGAUGGUGAGAAGUGUACUUGGCAGAGACGAUCUUUGUCGCCCGAUAUCUUCUCCUUGAUCUUCUCUUUCAGCACCCUCUCUUCCCUUGUUCUUCCUUCUCCCCAUCAGAAUUUUUUUUUGUUUAAAUCGGGAG